rnacentral:lncRNA from 1 species
ACUUUUCCAUACCUAGCUAGAGAACAAGCUAGCUUUUUAUUAGAGUAAUAAAGAAGAUUUCAAGAUUGGCGGCAAAAGCACCAACAAAAACCCAUCGAUGCGUUCUGAUAAUACUAUCAUCUAUAUCAAAACUAGAGUGUUGACGAAAGGACCCACCAAUGUUAAAUGAAAACCAACCCUCAUUCCUAACCAUCAUCCAAUAAAAUGGAACUGCCAAGGUAAACCCGAUGUUUUUAGGCCCAAUU